rnacentral:rRNA from 1 species
UACGUAGGUGGCAAGCGUUGUCCGGAUUUACUGGGCGUAAAGAGCGCGCAGGCGGUCGUUCAAGUCGAGUGUGAAAGCCCCCGGCUCAACUGGGGAGGGUCACUCGAUACUGAUCGACUCGAAGGCAGGAGAGGGAAGCGGAAUUCCCGGUGUAGUGGUGAAAUGCGCAGAUAUCGGGAGGAACACCGGUGGCGAAGGCGGUUCUCUGGGCCUGUACUGACGCUGAGGAGCGAAAGCGUGGGGAGCGAACAGG